UGAGGAGGGCUGGGCGGGGACCCCCUUGGCAACAGUGGCCAGGAUUCCUAUUGCUGGCUCCCCCCAGCCCCCACUUGAAAGGCUGCUUUUUAGAUUGGGUCAAUUCCAGACCAUUUGUUAUUGAUAUAUGAAGAUCCUGGGGGAUUAUAGUAAUGUAUUUUUCAUCCCACUGUGAUAGAAUCAUAUAAGGAAAAUGGGUCUGAAUGUUAAGUACAAAUUGAAAGAGACAUGGUCAUUUAAGAUAAGGAGUUAUCUGUAUACAAGGAAAUGCUAUCAGGGAAAUAGACCACUGCUUGACAGAAAUAAAUUUUGCUUUGUGCCCCCCCCCCACCUGGGCUGCUUUCCAUGAUUUAGCUCCAGCCCCACCUUGGCAGGGUCUCCCCUCCGUGUGUGGUGGAAUCUGGGGGCAAAUGGAUCACCCCGGUUGCUUCCCCAGAGCUUCUUAAAGCACAGGAUUGUGGACUGAGCUGCUGCUGCUGCACGAUCUGGCGGGAUCCAGUCCCAGUUCCACGCUGGCAUCUUCAUGCACACUGGCGAGACUUUGGAUCAUGCUCCCUGGAGGUUUCUGGCAAUUCCCAAGGCUGCGGUGCUGAGUCCUGACUUGGAGGCAGGAGGCCCAAGGCACCAGUGGGUGUGAGAGACAGGGAGCUUUUACAAGGUGAAUUCCCUCAAGGCCGAUUUCUUUUUUGCACGUGGUCCACAAUUCUUGAUCUGUGCACAUGGCAGGUGUGUAUUUUUAGCUGUCGCUGGCCUCUUUGAAAUGCACAUGAUCAGGAGACAAGCGCCCUUGCACCAGGAAAGACAGACAUCAGGCCCUAAGUUGCGGGGAGGGGAAGGCAUGGGAAAGUCCUUAACAGGAUUCACCCAAAGCAUUUAAAUUGGUGAGGAGGGCCCUCCUCUGCAUUCAGCGCGAAGGGCUUUGUUUUUGUUUGUACAUGUUGCUGCUCCCCUGCCUGCAUAAUGACACAACACAGUUCAGGAAAGGUUGCACCAAAUGCUGCUUCUGUGUGGCUGAAUCAGUGCUGUGAUUAGCAAGACUAUGGAGCCCCCUGCCACUAGAGAGUUGUCUGUGGGCUGGGGUGUGCGAGAGAGAGAUGGCCUGGUGAUGGGACCUGCUUACCCAGGUGAGCUCUAGCAACAGAACAUGUGCAGGUGGCAGAUCCAAAGAGAAGAAUUAUGGUAUCUUCUGUGGCACAAGAGGGAACUGCUUGUCAGACCUCAGGCCGCCACCUGUGUCAACAUGGCAACCUCUAGAAACCCAGAUGACAUCCUUCUGCCUCCCCACAGAGGGGCCUGCAGUCCUCUGAGGGGCCAUCAGCAAGGACUCUCCCUGCCAUUUGAGCGACAAGGUCAAAUGCCCAGAUUUUCCAUGGAGGAGCAAUUCAGGCUCUGAAUUCCAGCAAGUGCAGCAAUUUUUCAAUUUCUGCCCUGGACGUCCAUUCCGCCUUUACAAUCCCAGUAAUGUCUGGGAAAAUCCAGGCGUAUGGCAGCCCUAGGAAACCGAUCAGCUCAACGCCUGAGGAGUGUCAGCAUCUCUCUCAGACCUUCCCCCAGGACCUCCACACUUACCCCAAACACACCUCCCGGAGGCUUUUAACAUGCUCUUUCCACAGAGAGGAGCUCCAGACAUAACUCCACUGAUUCCACCACGCCCCCCCCCACCGCCCCACAUGCUCAAAAAAGAAGCAGCCAGCUACAAAAUAGGAGAGGGACCACAUGCAAAAGGGCUUCAGUCCCAUGGAAGGAGAGAAGCCCCCUCGGAAGGCUUCUAUUGACAGUGAGAUGGAAUAGGCCUUAUUUAGUUGGGCAGGACUGCCCCCUCCCCCAUUUUUAAUUAUAUCAUGCUGGGCUCUUUUUUACAAUCCCAUUUCACCCACAGCACUAUUGAGGCCUGGGAGACUUAAAAAUGGACCCCGAGAGAAUUCAGAGCAUUUGGGGUGUGCUGAAAACCCUGUCCUGAAAGAUGCACUCCCAAAAGAAAGAAACAGACUCCACCAUCCUAGAUUUAUUUUUUUUUUGCGGGGGGGGGGGGAAUCUGUGCUGCUGAGUAUUCCUGCCCCAAUGUGAGGCUCUUCUGUGGGGCUCCCUCCUCUGUGGUCCCAGCAGAGGGGCUGGGUCUGCCCCCUUUCGGCCUCUGACUGCCAGGGGGGCUUUUUCUUCUCUAGGACAAACCACGGUUUCUAAAGCAGGGUCCCUCUGGCAAAUGAAAAGGAUCACCCCAUCUUAUGUGAAUAGCGCCUGCAAAGACACAACGUGGUUUGGAGGGGGGGGGUUGAUGGAGAGGAGAGAGAGAAAAAGAAAGGCCGGUAAUAAAAUGCUAUUCAGGGAAGCACAAUCUCUGCGAAACAGGGGCCCAUUGAGAUGACAGCCUGAAACCCAUUUGCUAAGCACGGCAAUGGGCCCUUUUGUAACCUCUUUCCUUCUGUUGACAGUUACCUUUCAAUCUGACAAUUGUGCACUAAGUACUGAUCUUUAUUCAAUGUUCUAUUCACCCUGCGUAUUAAUGAAGGGGGGGGGAGAAGAACUUGUAAGAAUAGCCUUUAAUGGGCUGAUAGACAAGGCACCCUUCUUCUCCCUCCGAAGCUCCCCUUAUCAGCCUCUCCCAGUCCUGUCGCUCCCCUGACCACCUUCCUGCAGCUCCCCUCCGCCAGCUCUUCCCGGGUUCAGAUGGCAAAGCUUUCCUUUCCAGGCUCUCACUGACCUGUCCUAGUGCUGGAGGGGGCGG